UCAGUUAGCUCUGAAAGUUUUGACAGGGACCUAGAGAAUACAAGGAUACAAGAGAAGACCAGAAGCUCCCACUUAGGGCACCCAGCUGGAUUGGACAGUGGAGCAUGUGACUCUUGCUCUCAGUAUGAAGAGGAGACUUGGGAUUGGACUGCAAGGGAGGGUGUGUGGUCCCCAGCAAGAGCCGGCACAGUCAUGGAGAGCUGGCUUCCACCUGAGCAAGGCUACUUACCAGCUGGGGAACCCUAAGCCAUCAGUCACUGCCUCUGCAGAACUUGGAAUCAUUGCUGCUCUGUCCUCCUUUAUGGGCGGUCGCAAGGAGUAAAGUAAGAUCAGUCUCAAAAAUGACCGGAUGAAUUGACCCCUCCCCACUGGGGAAAGAAGAAUUACCUCUGCCUUCAAGAUCCUUCUAGCUGGACUAAGAAUCAAAUUGACAUGAGACAGAUUAACAAGAAAAUUCUGCAUGUAUGGAGAAUCCAUACAGACAUGGAAAUUCCAAAGACACUCAGGCAAAUAUAUGUCAUUCUGAACUAAGGAGAAGGGGGCAGGGGUCUGGGACUUCAAAGGGAAGGAAUGCAAUUCGAAGGACAAUGAAAAAGAGUAAAUGUCUGGUCAACAAGCAUCUGCCGGGCCACUCAGAAGCCAUGGGACUUAGGAGUUUGAUCCCACAGGCCUUGCUAUGUUCCUGCCUGUCUCUCUUACCUAGUUCAUGUGCUAGUGUAGUUAUCUGUGGUGACAGUUCUCUUCCUGGAGCAGGGCCUCUAUCUAAAUUCUUCAAAGUAAUUGUGGGGGAGCAAAAAGUUUCUUCCUGAGUCUUUUGAGUCUUGAUUGUGUUCAGUUCAGCAUAAUCUGCAUGCCAUAGUGGGCUAUCUUAAGGCAGCCUGCCCUUGGCCCCUACACCACCAACCCCAAAAAAACCCCACUAACUAG